rnacentral:rRNA from 1 species
GAUGAACGCUGGCGGCGUGCCUAAUACAUGCAAGUCGAGCGAAUGGAUUAAGAGCUUGCUCUUAUGAAGUUAGCGGCGGACGGGUGAGUAACACGUGGGUAACCUGCCCAUAAGACUGGGAUAACUCCGGGAAACCGGGGCUAAUACCGGAUAACAUUUUGAACCGCAUGGUUCGAAAUUGAAAGGCGGCUUCGGCUGUCACUUAUGGAUGGACCCGGGUCGCAUUAGCUAGUUGGUGAGGUAACGGCUCACCAAGGCAACGAUGCGUAGCCGACCUGUGAGGGUGAUCGGCCACACUGAGACUGAGACACGGCCCAGACUCCUACGGGAGGCAGCAGUAGGGAAUCUUCCGCAAUGGACGAAAGUCUGACGGAGCAACGCCGCGUGAGUGAUGAAGGCUUUCGGGUCGUAAAACUCUGUUGUUAGGGAAGAACAAGUGCUAGUUGAAUAAGCUGGCACCUUGACGGUACCUAACCAGAAAGCCACGGCUAACUACGUGCCAGCAGCCGCCGUAA